rnacentral:rRNA from 1 species
CCAUCGAUUUGCCCAGAUGGGAUUAGCUUGUUGGUGGGGUAAUGGCUCACCAAGGCGACGAUCCCUAGCUUGUCUGAGAGGAUGACCAGCCACACUGGAACUGAGACACGGUCCAGACUCCUACGGGAGGCAGCAGUGGGGAAUAUUGCACAAUGGGCGCAAGCCUGAUGCAGCCAUGCCGCGUGUAUGAAGAAGGCCUUCGGGUUGUAAAGUACUUUCAGCGGGGAGGAAGGCAGCAAGGUUAAUAACCUUACUGAUUGACGUUACCCGCAAAAGAAGCACCGGCUAACUCCGUGCCAGCAGCCGCGGUAAUACGGAAGGUGAAGCGUUAAUCGGAAUUACUGGGCGUAAAGCGCACGCAGGCGGUCUGCCAAGUCAGAUGUGAAAUCCCCGGGCUUAACCUGGGAACUGCAUUUGAAACUGGCAGGCUAGAGUCUUGUAGAGGGGGGUAGAAUUCCGGGUGUAGCGGUGAAAUGCGUAGAGAUCUGGAGGAAUACCGGUGGCGAAGGCGGCCCCCUGGACAAAGACUGACGCUCAGGUGCGAAAGCGUGGGGAGCAAACAGGAUUAGAUACCCUGGUAGUCCACGCCGUAAACGAUGUCGACUUGGAGGUUGUGCCCUUGAGGCGUGGCUUCCGGAGCUAACGCGUUAAGUCGACCGCCUGGG